rnacentral:rRNA from 1 species
AUUGAACGCUGGCGGAAUGCUUUACACAUGCAAGUCGAACGGCAGCACGGACUUCGGUCUGGUGGCGAGUGGCGAACGGGUGAGUAAUGUAUCGGAACGUGCCCAGUCGUGGGGGAUAACGUAGUGAAAAUUACGCCAAUACCGCAUACGAUCUAAGGAUGAAAGCGGGGGAUCGCAAGACCUCGCGCGAUUGGAGCGGCCGAUAUCAGAUUAGGUAGUUGGUGGGGUAAAGGCUCACCAAGCCAACGAUCUGUAGCUGGUCUGAGAGGACGACCAGCCACACUGGAACUGAGACACGGUCCAGACUCCUACGGGAGGCAGCAGUGGGGAAUUUUGGACAAUGGGCGAAAGCCUGAUCCAGCCAUUCCGCGUGCAGGAUGAAGGCCCUCGGGUUGUAAACUGCUUUUGUACAGAACGAAAAGGUUUCUACUAAUACUAGGAGCUCACGACGGUACUGUAAGAAUAAGCACCGGCUAACUACGUGCCAGCCGCCGCCGUAA